UAUAUAUAUAUAUAUAUAUAUAUAUAUAUUUCACUGCCCUCUAUGGUUAUUAGAACGUAUCCUAAUUAACGUAUUGGGAAUUAUUAUAAACAUAUUAAAUAGGAGAGAAAUAUAAUACGCGUAUAUUAUUUCACGGUAGUAAGGAAUCACAACGGUAAGUAAGGAAGAAGAGAGAAUUUAGAGAAAGGAAAAAUGAAAUUUUUAUCCUUACAACGCAGCUUUAAAUAUUUAAUCUAUAUAUAGUCUUAUCACGGAAUGACGAAAGUGAAAAAUGACAAAAGAAUAAUGUGAAAGAGCAGAAAAAUAAAAAGAACACAGAUCAGAAAAUUGCCUCGCUUGUAUAUAUAACAAAUAUUUUUGUUCUCUUCGUUCAAACGAACCUUUUUAGGCAGAAUCAAGUGGCAG